AUUGAACGCUGGCGGCAUGCCUUACACAUGCAAGUCGAACGGUAACGGGCCUUCGGGUGCCGACGAGUGGCGAACGGGUGAGUAAUAUAUCGGAACGUGCCCAGUAGUGGGGGAUAGCCCGGCGAAAGCCGGAUUAAUACCGCAUACGACCUGAGGGUGAAAGCGGGGGAUCGCAAGACCUCGCGCUAUUGGAGCGGCCGAUAUCAGAUUAGCUAGUUGGUGGGGGAAAGGCCUACCAAGGCAACGAUCUGUAGUUGGUCUGAGAGGACGGCCAGCUACACUGGGACUGAGACACGGCCCAGACUGCUACGGGAUGCAGCAGUGGGGAAUUUUGGACAAUGGGCGCAAGCCUGAUCCAGCAAUGCCGCGUGCAGGAAGAAGGCCGUCGGGUUGUAAACUGCUUUUGUCAGGGAAGAAAUCUUCUGGGUUAAUACCUCGGGAGGAUGACGGUACCUGAAGAAUAAGCACCGGCUAACUACGUGCCAGCCGCCGCAGUAAAAC
rnacentral:rRNA from 1 species